CUGCAGGGGAGGAACUGCCAACCCCCACCCGCCAGCAGUGCCCGGCUGGCGGUAAACAGCUUCGUGGGGGCCAGGAGGGAAGCGGGCAAUCUUCAAAGGCAGAAAAGAGAAAUUCAGCCGGAGCCGCAGAAGCGAUGACACAGUGGAGCCGGAUCCCCUAAACUUGGCUGGGAAAGCUGAUAACCAUCCCCAUAACCCCCUGGUUCCCGGAGGGGCGCGCGGUUCCUUCCACCAGCCCCGACCCCGGCAGCCCUGGACCUCAGCUCGGCAGAUGCCCCCCCACCCAGCCGCCGGGACUUUAGCUCCGCGGAUGCCCCCCACCCAGGUCGCUGGGCGCCUGGGCGGGACCUGGUGGGAAAAAACGCGGUGCGCUAGCCCCAGGCGAAGGGCGCGGGCAGCCGGUUAAUCACAGCUCGCCUCGCCUCCAUUAACUUCUGUUGAUAUUAAAAAGAAAUCAAUCAGUGAAAAUGGAGCCUUGGCCGUGACUAUUUCUUUUUCUCCAGUGGAAAAGCAAAGAGCGAGGCGGCGGCGGAGGGGAGGCGGAACUCGCCGGCGACUGCAGAGGAUUCUCCCAGGCCGAAGACCGCAGCGGAGACUUAACUUUCUGGCAGUGGGCAGUGCUGAGGAAAUGCCGCAGCCUGCUCCCUGGGGGUGUCCUUAGAGUGAGGAGGAGGGGACAAAGCUGGAGGAGUUGGAGGCGGCCCACUUAACCGGGCUGGAGCUCCGGUUUUGCUUUCUCUGGGAAUAUUUUUGCCUAAUAGAAUGUUUAUGGAUC